GUCUUCUACCGAGGGAAGGACUUCUUGCCCUCUGCAGUCUCUUCAGCAAUAGAAGAACGGAGAAAGCAAGUUUUUGAAGAGGAAAAGCGGAAUGGUUUUAAUUCAUCAGUAGCAAAUGCUAAGGAAAGGAAACAAUCCACUACAGAAAGUGUUUCUGAUGAUGGACAUGCACACAGAAAUAACCAGAAAGGUGUCCAAGAAAAAAAGAAACUUACUUCCAUGGAAGCUGCU
rnacentral:misc_RNA from 1 species